UGGGGAAUAUUGGACAAUGGGGGCAACCCUGAUCCAGCAAUGCCGCGUGUGUGAAGAAGGCCUGCGGGUUGUAAAGCACUUUCAAUUGGGAAGAAAAGCGAUCGGUUAAUACCCGGUUGUCUUGACGUUACCUUUACAAGAAGCACCGGCUAACUCCGUGCCAGCAGCCGCGGUAAUACGGCGGGUGCGAGCGUUAAUCGGAAUUACUGGGCGUAAAGCGCGCGUAGGCGGUUCGGUCAGUCGGAUGUGAAAGCCCCGGGCUUAACCUGGGAUUUCCAUUCGAUACUGCCGAGCUAGAGUAUGGGAGAGGGAAGCGGAAUUGCCGGUGUAGCGGUGAAAUGCGGAGAUAUCGGAAGGAACAUCAGUGGCGAAGGCGGCUUCCUGGACCAAUACUGACGCUGAGGUGCGAAAGCGUGGGUAGCGAACAGGAUUAGAUACCCCGGUAGUCC
rnacentral:rRNA from 1 species